rnacentral:tRNA from 1 species
GGGUCGUUAGCUCAGUUGGUUUGAGUUGAGCGCAGCGAAACAACGGAGCCGCUCGCGGCGACGGCCCGAAGGGCGAGCGAAGCGAGUCAUCCUGCACGACCCACCA